rnacentral:rRNA from 1 species
UACGAAGGAUCCAAGCGUUAUCCGGAUUCAUUGGGUUUAAAGGGUGCGUAGGCGGUCUUAUAAGUCAGUGCUGAAAUAUCCCGGCUUAACCGGGAGGGUGGCAUUGAUACUGUAGGACUUGAGUAGAGUUGAGGUUGGCGGAAUUGACGGUGUAGCGGUGAAAUGCUUAGAUAUCGUCAAGAACACCGAUAGUGAAGACAGCUAACUAAGCUCAAACUGACGCUGAGGCACGAAAGUGUGGGGAUCAAACAGG